UACGUAGGUGACCAGCGUUGUCCGGAUUUACUGGGCGUAAAGAGCGCGCAGGCGGUCGUUCAAGGCGAGUGGGAAAGCCCCCGGCUCAACUGGGGAGGGUCAUUCGAUACUGAUCGACUCGAAGGCAGGAGAGGGAAGCGGAAUUCCCGGUGUAGUGGUGAAAUGCGUAGAUAUCGGGAGGAACACCAGUGGCGAAGGCGGCUUCCUGGCCUGUUCUUGACGCUGAGGCGCGAAAGCUAGGGGAGCAAACGGG
rnacentral:rRNA from 1 species